GAGUUUGAUCAUGGCUCAGGACGAACGCUGACGGCGUGCUUAACACAUGCAAGUCGAACGGUGAACCACCUUCGGGUGGGGAUCAGUGGCGAACGGGUGAGUAACACGUGGGCAACCUGCCCUUAGCUCUGGGAUAACCCCGGGAAACCGGGGCUAAUACCGGAUACGACUUCGAGCGGCAUCACUCGAGGUGGAAAGAAUUUCGGCUAAGGAUGGGGCCCGCGGCCUAUCAGCUUGUUGGUGGGGUAACGGCCUACCAAGGCGACGACGGGUAGCCGGCCUGAGAGGGCGACCGGCCACACUGGGACUGAGACACGGCCCAGACUCCUACGGGAGGCAGCAGUGGGGAAUAUUGCGCAAUGGGCGAAAGCCUGACGCAGCGACG
rnacentral:rRNA from 1 species